rnacentral:lncRNA from 1 species
UAUUAAAAUAGAAAUAAAAUAUAGAUUUAGAAAGAUUUAACCGAGAGAGAGGAGAGUGCUUGCUGCUUCUUCUUAUUCCGUUUUUCCUGCGUGCUGACCUCAUGCUCAAGCUGCCUCUUUUCCUGUUUCCCCGCGUCCUGCGUUUCUUGUCAAGCUGCUGCGUGCUGACCUUCCCUGCACGCUGCCAAGUCACGCUGCCUAAUGGCAGCUCACCUUCUCUCCCUCACCUCCUGCACGUACUGACCUUCUCACUCCUCUGGCGCUGCCCCGUGUCCUCCUGCUCUCCUUCCCUAUUUCCUUCUGUUUCUUUAUUUUUUAUAUCCUUUUCUGCUUCUGGCAGCAGGGCUGCCCCCC